rnacentral:rRNA from 1 species
UACAGAGGGUGCGAGCGUUGUCCGGAAUCACUGGGCGUAAAGGGCGCGUAGGCGGCUUGAUAAGCGUGCGGUGAGAGCCCGGGGCUCAACCCCGGGUCGGCCGUGCGAACUGUCGAGCUGGAGCACUGUAGAGGCAGGUGGAAUUCCGGGUGUAGCGGUGGAAUGCGUAGAGAUCCGGAAGAACACCGGUGGCGAAGGCGGCCUGCUGGGCAGUGGCUGACGCUGAGGCGCGACAGCGUGGGGAGCAAACAGG